rnacentral:rRNA from 1 species
UACGUAGGGUGCAAGCGUUGUCCGGAAUUAUUGGGCGUAAAGAGCUCGUAGGCGGUUUGUCGCGUCGAAUGUGAAAACCCGGGGCUCAACCCCGGGCCUGCAUUCGAUACGGGCAGACUAGAGUUCGGUAGGGGAGUCUGGAAUUCCUGGUGUAGCGGUGAAAUGCGCAGAUAUCAGGAGGAACACCGGUCGCGAAGGCGGCUCUCUGGGACGGUACUGACGCUGAGACGCGAAAGCGUGGGGAGCGAACAGG